ensembl:snRNA U6 U6 spliceosomal RNA
GUUCUCGCUUCGGCAGCACAUACACUAAAACUGGAAUGAUACAGAGAAGAUUAGCAUGGCCCCCCUGCGCAAGGAUGACACGCAAAUUCGUGAAGCAUUCCAUAUUUUA